ACGAACGCUGGCGGCGUGCUUAACACCUGCCAGUCGAACGGAAAGGCCCUGCUUGCAGGGUGCUCGAGUGGCGAACGGGUGAGUAACACGUGGGUGAUCUGCCCCUUACUUUGGGAUAAGCCUGGGAAACUGGGUCUAAUACUGGAUAGGACCAUGCUGUAGGUGGUGUGGUGGAAAGAUUAGUUUCGGUAAGGGAUGAGCUCGCGGCCUAUCAGCUUGUUGGUGGGGUAAUGGCCUACCAAGGCGUCGACGGGUAGCCGGCCUGAGAGGGUGGACGGCCACAUUGGGACUGAGAUACGGCCCAGACUCCUACGGGAGGCAGCAGUGGGGAAUAUUGCACAAUGGGCGCAAGCCUGAUGCAGCGACGCCGCGUGGGGGAUGACGGCCUUCGGGUUGUAAACUCCUUUCAGCCAUGACGAAGCCCUUGUGGUGACGGUAGUGGUAGAAGAAGCACCGGCUAACUACGUG
rnacentral:rRNA from 1 species